UUCCCAAAUCUCGCAAAAAUCACGGUGCCGCCUCGAUGCCUUCCUUCCAUCCAUCCACCCAGUCCCGCCCCCAUGGGCCAUCGCCUCCGCCUCCCCAGCAACCCCACGCCACCGCGUCGCCCUCUUCUUCCUGCUCCUCCUCCCCGUCCACCUCGCCCUCGCCACCGCGCAGGCCGCAGGGGUUACGCGGCUUCUCCUACCUCCUCAACUGCGGCGUUGUGCUACUACCCUCGACUCCUCACCCGCCCGCUCACCAUCUCUCCUCUCCCGUUUCUCCCUCCCUCUCCCCUCCAAAUCCGGCGGCCGGCGAGGCGAGAGCGCGGCCUUCGCUUGCCAGUCCUGGCGGCCGGCGGCCGGCAGCGUUGCUAGGAUGUAGCCGCCGGCACUCGGAUCUGCCUCGGGGUGGGCCCGCUGGAGGCACGAUGAUGAACACAGGCCCCGCGACGACUCUUGGCGAGGGGGGGGGGGGGGGGGGGCUCACCUCGCUCAACUCUACGGCGCAGCGGGGCCGACGAGAGGGCCGAAGCCAUGGGUGGGCGCUUCAAGAUUUGCCUUGCUCAUGGACGACGAGGGGGCCGACAGCGACCGUGGAUGGCCGAUACGGAGGUGGUGUAUGCGCUCACUGCCCAGAAUCUCCCGUCCCCAUCAAUUUUGUCGACCAGCUGAGCAGCUCCCUGCUCCACCAAGGAUCCAUGGGAUUGGGAAGCACGAAUCCCCCUCAGCCACGAAUCUCUUGUGCUGUGUAUUAAAGGAUGACUUCAUACCAAACUUUGAUAACUCACAGAGGGAGCCAUCUCUGCUGCUGGCUCGUGUUCCAUCUCUAUUGUUGAAUGGUUCUUCUGGGAUUGCGGUCGGAAUGGCAACAAACAUUCCUCCUCACAAUCUGGGGGAGCUUGUUGAUGCACUUUCUGUUAUAGUUCAAAAGCCUGAAGCCACAAAUCAUUGGAAUUAUUUUGGUGAUUGUUAAAGUAACAUUGGCAGAACCACCCAGAGGCUGAGGUUGCUGCUCUGCCGCCACCGGCCACCACCGACACCGAGGAGGAUCGCGCAGCGGCCGCCACACCAGCCGACAACAAUCCCUCCAUCACAGUACCGUGGGAAGAUUGAAAAAUAGCAGACUAAAGUAGAGAAAUGGUUUGAGAUAUGUGGCAUAACGAUGCCUAACAUCAAACAGGGGAUGUUUUAAUACAUAUUUUUGCUUACUAUGAGAAGAAGGUAUGAACAAAUGGAUUCUUUUCUUUAUUCACACAUUGCAAUGGUCAUUCUUAAUUGAUCUGUUGAAAGGAAACCAUGUUCAUCGGCAAGUUGCUUGGAUAUACCGGUUCUCGUGGGAACCAAUGCAUUUAGGUCUUCUCAUUAUUUACAAAAGAUUGUGCUGAUAUAGGAUUAUCUACUACUAUUCUAGGUUUCAAUAUAUUUACAAACUAAUUGAUCAGGCCUUCAGAGGCUUCCAGGUUCAGCCGUGGUCAUCACGAGUGCAAGCUGAUAAGAGCAACAACCAUAUGGAGCAUUGCAGGUUCUGUGAAUUGUGCUAAUAAAUAAUGGGUUAACAAGCAUGCCAUUGUCAGCAUUGAGUUCAUCUCCUGUUUACUCUUCCUGCUAUUCCAUGAAGAUUUGGAGAGGAAGGCUGUUUGUUCUUCCUGCCAUUCCAAGAAGAUCUAGAGAGGAAGGCUGAGGUGCUCGAGAAGAAAAUAUUUCUACUUUGGGGCCAUGUAAAUCACAGAAUAAAGUUAGCAUAAAUUAUUGGGAGCUCAUAGUUCUUUUUUGGACUAAUUUCAGGUUUCCACACUGAUACAACAGGAUUGACUAAUUUCAGGUUUGAUUUGAUUAUUCUAUUCUCUUCUCGAUUUAAUGAAUGCUUUGAUAUUUUCCGCUAAUUAAAGAUGGGUUGUGAUUGAUCCAGGAAGAGUAUUAGUGAUGGGGUUAAAUACUAAGACCUUAGCUAUCUCUAUAUAAAUGGAGGUUUUUUCCUUUGGGUGUUUUUUCAUUCAUUAAGUUCAGCUUUUUUAUUGCUGUAUGUACCAAGCUGAAUGUCAUACAUGAGCUCCAAUAUGUCUAUUCUAAGAGAUUUACAUGAUACUACUAUAUAUAUUAAGCUAUUUUUGGUACAGUCAAGGACACAGAAUGCUUGCUUGGUAGAGCUGACAAGUUCAGGCAAUAUGGCUACAAUGCAGUCCUUAUGCAAUCUGAUUCUGUCAAGUAUGCUCUUAUGCAACAUGUGAUUUUUUUUUCCUUCUGUGGCCAUUUGUGGAGAGUUUAUCUAAAUGCCUAAAGCAUGGACUUUACAAUCCACUUAAAGCAAGAUCAAAGUAUUGCAGAUGCGAUAUACAUCACUAACAGUGUUUCAUUCUCCUUUGUGAUUUUUGACAUUCCUGUUUUCUGCCUUUAUUGAUACAAAAUUUGGUUACAAAAUUUUGACAUCUCUAACAGCUGAAGGCACUGCAAGAUCCCAGAACAAGACGCUCGAGAAACAGGAUCGGCGGCAGCAAGGACACGAGGGCUGGAGGGGAGGAGCAACCAGAUGGAGGUGCAUGGUCAAGCAAUCCCCGUUAGUUCAUGACCGCAGGCUAGGCGUCCGAACAAACAGAGUUGUAAAGGUGUAAAGGGUAGCCUAGACAAUCCUGUAAUUGUGUUUGAUGGGAUGGCUUGUCCAAAGUUAAACGAAAGAAUCAAUAUUGUUGUCUCCUCGUAAUCGCAUUGAAUCGUCUCUUUGGGCUGUUGUAAUACUUCAUUUGGAAGGGUCUUCUUCA